rnacentral:rRNA from 1 species
GACGAACGCUGGCGGCGUGCUUAACACAUGCACGUCGAACGCAGUGGCGAACGGGUGAGUCACUCGUAAUCAACCUGCCCUUCAGAGGGGCACAACAGUUGGACACGACUGCUAAUACCGCAUACUGUAGGAUGGGCUUGCGUCUGUUUAGCUAGUUGGAGGUGUAACGGUCCACCAAGGCGAUGAUCAGUAGCCGGUCUGAGAGGAUGAACGGCCACAGUGGGACUGAGACACGGCCCAGACUCCUACGGGAGGCAGCAGUGGGGAAGCUGCCGCAAUGGACGGAAGUCUGACGGAGCAACGCCGCGUGAGGGAGGACGGCCUUCGGGUUGUAAAGCUCUGGUAAGCGGGACGCGGUACCGGAAUAGAAAGCCACGGCUAACUACGUGCCAGCAGCCGCGGUAAUUC